AGGCUUUGAUCCUGGCUCAGGAUGAACGCUGGCGGUAUGCCUAACACAUGCAAGUCGAACGAAUCCUUCGGGAUUAGUGGCGGACGGGUGAGUAACGCGUGAGAAUCUGCCUUCAGGACGGGGAUAACAGUGGGAAACCACUGCUAACCCCCGAUGUGCCGAGAGGUGAAAUAUUAAUAGCCUGGAGAGGAGCUCGCGUCUGAUUAGCUAGUUGGUGGGGUAAAAGCCUACCAAGGCAACGAUCAGUAGCUGGUCUGAGAGGAUGAGCAGCCACACUGGGACUGAGACACGGCCCAGACUCCUACGGGAGGCAGCAGUGGGGAAUUUUCCGCAAUGGGCGAAAGCCUGACGGAGCAAUACCGCGUGAGGGAAGAAGGUUUUUGGAUUGUAAACCUCAAAACUUAGGGACGAAAAAAAUGACGGUACCUAAUUUAAGCAUCGGCUAACUCCGUGCCAGCAGCCGCGGUAAUACGGAGGAUGCAAGCGUUAUCCGGAAUUAUUGGGCGUAAAGCGUCCGUAGGUGGUCAAUCAAGUCUGC
rnacentral:rRNA from 1 species